rnacentral:rRNA from 1 species
AGUGGCGGAUGGGUGAGUAACACGUGGGGAACCUGCCCCUAAGUCUGGGAUACCAUUUGGAAACAGGUGCUAAUACCGGAUAAUAAAGCAGAUCGCAUGAUCAGCUUUUGAAAGGCGGCGUAAGCUGUCGCUAAGGGAUGGCCCCGCGGUGCAUUAGCUAGUUGGUAAGGUAACGGCUUACCAUGGCGACGAUGCAUAGCCGGGUUGAGAGACUGAUCGGCCACAUUGGGACUGAGACACGGCCCAAACUCCUACGGGAGGCAGCAGUAGGGAAUCUUCCACAAUGGACGCAAGUCUGAUGGAGCAACGCCGCGUGAGUGAAGAAGGUUUUCGGAUCGUAAAGCUCUGUUGUUGGUGAAGAAGGAUAGAGGUAGUAACUGGCCUUUAUUUGACGGUAAUCAACCAGAAAGUCACGGCUAACUACGUGCCAGCAGCCGCGGUAAUACGUAGGUGGCAAGCGUUGUCCGGAUUUAUUGGGCGUAAGGCGAGCGCAGGCGGAAAAAUAAGUCUAAUGUGAAAGCCCUCGGCUUAACCGAGGAACUGCAUCGGAAACUGUUUUUCUUGAGUGCAGAAGAGGAGAGUGGAACUCCAUGUGUAGCGGUGGAAUGCGUAGAUAUAUGGAAGAACACCAGUGGCGAAGGCGGCUCUCUGGUCUGCAACUGACGCUGAGGCUCGAAAGCAUGGGUAGCGAACAGGAUUAGAUACCCUGGUAGUCCAUGCCGUAAACGAUGAGUGCUAAGUGU